GGGUUGUGAGGUUAAGCGACUAAGCGUACACGGUGGAUGCCCUGGCAGUCAGAGGCGAUGAAGGGCGUGCUAAUCUGCGAUAAGCGCCGGUAAGGUGAUAUGAACCGUUAUAACCGGCGAUACCCGAAUGGGGAAACCCAGUGUGAUUCGUCACACUAUCAUUAACUGAAUCCAUAGGUUAAUGAGGCGAACCGGGGGAACUGAAACAUCUAAGUACCCCGAGGAAAAGAAAUCAACCGAGAUUCCCCCAGUAGCGGCGAGCGAACGGGGAGGAGCCCAGAGCCUGAAUCAGCAUGUGUGUUAGUGGAAGCGUCUGGAAAGGCGCGCGAUACAGGGUGACAGCCCCGUACACAAAAGCGCAUGUGCUGUGAGCUCGAUGAGUAGGGCGGGACACGUGGUAUCCUGUCUGAAUAUGGGGGGACCAUCCUCCAAGGCUAAAUACUCCUGACUGACCGAUAGUGAACCAGUACCGUGAGGGAAAGGCGAAAAGAACCCCGGCGAGGGGAGUGAAAAAGAACCUGAAACCGUGUACGUACAAGCAGUGGGAGCACAGGUUUACCUGUGUGACUGCGUACCUUUUGUAUAAUGGGUCAGCGACUUAUAUUCUGUAGCAAGGUUAACCGUAUAGGGGAGCCGGAGGGAAACCGAGUCUUAAUUGGGCGUUAAGUUGCAGGGUAUAGACCCGAAACCCGGUGAUCUAGCCAUGGGCAGGUUGAAGGUUGGGUAACACUAACUGGAGGACCGAACCGACUAAUGUUGAAAAAUUAGCGGAUGACCUGUGGCUGGGGGUGAAAGGCCAAUCAAACCGGGAGAUAGCUGGUUCUCCCCGAAAGCUAUUUAGGUAGCGCCUCGUGAAUUCAUCUCCGGGGGUAGAGCACUGUUUCGGCUAGGGGGCCAUCCCGGCUUACCAACCCGAUGCAAACUGCGAAUACCGGAGAAUGUUAUCACGGGAGACACACGGCGGGUGCUAACGUCCGUCGUGAAGAGGGAAACAACCCAGACCGCCAGCUAAGGUCCCAAAGUCAUGGUUAAGUGGGAAACGAUGUGGGAAGGCCCAGACAGCCAGGAUGUUGGCUUAGAAGCAGCCAUCAUUUAAAGAAAGCGUAAUAGCUCACUGGUCGAGUCGGCCUGCGCGGAAGAUGUAACGGGGCUAAACCAUGCACCGAAGCUGCGGCAGCGAACGUAUCACCCAAGACAACUUUACGGAGUUGACGAUUGACGGAGCGAAGCGACGUCAAAGCGUUCAUUAAAGUCGAGUUGGCUUAGGGAUACGUUCGUUGGGUAGGGGAGCGUUCUGUAAGCCUGUGAAGGUGUGUCGUGAGGCAUGCUGGAGGUAUCAGAAGUGCGAAUGCUGACAUAAGUAACGAUAAAGCGGGUGAAAAGCCCGCUCGCCGGAAGACCAAGGGUUCCUGUCCAACGUUAAUCGGGGCAGGGUGAGUCGACCCCUAAGGCGAGGCCGAAAGGCGUAGUCGAUGGGAAACGGGUUAAUAUUCCCGUACUUGGUGUUACUGCGAAGGGGGGACGGAGAAGGCUAUGUUGGCCGGGCGACGGUUGUCCCGGUUUAAGCGUGUAGGUGUGUGUUCCAGGUAAAUCCGGUUCACUUUAACACUGAGGCGUGACGACGAGGCACUACGGUGCUGAAGCAACAAAUGCCCUGCUUCCAGGAAAAGCCUCUAAGCAUCAGGUAACAUCAAAUCGUACCCCAAACCGACACAGGUGGUCAGGUAGAGAAUACCAAGGCGCUUGAGAGAACUCGGGUGAAGGAACUAGGCAAAAUGGUGCCGUAACUUCGGGAGAAGGCACGCUGACACGUAGGUGAAGUGAUUUACUCAUGGAGCUGAAGUCAGUCGAAGAUACCAGCUGGCUGCAACUGUUUAUUAAAAACACAGCACUGUGCAAACACGAAAGUGGACGUAUACGGUGUGACGCCUGCCCGGUGCCGGAAGGUUAAUUGAUGGGGUCAGCGCAAGCGAAGCUCCUGAUCGAAGCCCCGGUAAACGGCGGCCGUAACUAUAACGGUCCUAAGGUAGCGAAAUUCCUUGUCGGGUAAGUUCCGACCUGCACGAAUGGCGUAAUGAUGGCCAGGCUGUCUCCACCCGAGACUCAGUGAAAUUGAACUCGCUGUGAAGAUGCAGUGUACCCGCGGCAAGACGGAAAGACCCCGUGAACCUUUACUAUAGCUUGACACUGAACAUUGAGCCUUGAUGUGUAGGAUAGGUGGGAGGCUUUGAAGUGUGGACGCCAGUCUGCAUGGAGCCGACCUUGAAAUACCACCCUUUAAUGUUUGAUGUUCUAACGUGGACCCGUAAUCCGGGUUGCGGACAGUGUCUGGUGGGUAGUUUGACUGGGGCGGUCUCCUCCUAAAGAGUAACGGAGGAGCACGAAGGUUGGCUAAUCCUGGUCGGACAUCAGGAGGUUAGUGCAAUGGCAUAAGCCAGCUUGACUGCGAGCGUGACGGCGCGAGCAGGUGCGAAAGCAGGUCAUAGUGAUCCGGUGGUUCUGAAUGGAAGGGCCAUCGCUCAACGGAUAAAAGGUACUCCGGGGAUAACAGGCUGAUACCGCCCAAGAGUUCAUAUCGACGGCGGUGUUUGGCACCUCGAUGUCGGCUCAUCACAUCCUGGGGCUGAAGUAGGUCCCAAGGGUAUGGCUGUUCGCCAUUUAAAGUGGUACGCGAGCUGGGUUUAGAACGUCGUGAGACAGUUCGGUCCCUAUCUGCCGUGGGCGCUGGAGAACUGAGGGGGGCUGCUCCUAGUACGAGAGGACCGGAGUGGACGCAUCACUGGUGUUCGGGUUGUCAUGCCAAUGGCACUGCCCGGUAGCUAAAUGCGGAAGAGAUAAGUGCUGAAAGCAUCUAAGCACGAAACUUGCCCCGAGAUGAGUUCUCCCUGAGACUUAGAGUCUCCUGAAGGAACGUUGAAGACGACGACGUUGAUAGGCCGGGUGUGUAAGCGCAGCGAUGCGUUGAGCUAACCGGUACUAAUGAACCGUGAGGCUUAACCUUACAACGCCGAAG
rnacentral:rRNA from 6 species